GACGAACGCUGGCGGCGUGCUUAACACAUGCAAGUCGAACGGAAAGGCCCUGCUUUUGUGGGGUGCUCGAGUGGCUAACGGGUGAGUAACCCUUUAGUAACCUGCCCUUUACUUUGGUAUAACUUCUGGAAACUGGGGCUAAUACCGGAUAGGAGCUCCUGCUGCAUGGUGGGUGUUGGAAAGUUUCGGCGGUUGGGGAUGGACUCGCGGCUUAUCAGCUUGUUGGUGGGGUAGUGGCUUACCAAGGCUUUGACGGGUAGCCGGCCUGAGAGGGUGACCGGCCACAUUGGGACUGAGAUACGGACCAGACUCCUACGGGAGGCAGCAGUGGGGAAUAUUGCACAAUGGGCGGAAGCCUGAUGCAGCAACGCCGCGUGCGGGAUGACGGCCUUCGGGUUGUAAACCGCUUUCGCCUGUGACGAAGAGUGAGUGACGGUAAUGGGUAAAGAAGCACCGGCUAACUACGUG
rnacentral:rRNA from 1 species